rnacentral:tRNA from 2 species
GCAUUAGUGGUUCAAUGGUAGAAUUCUCACCUUGCAUGUGGGAGGCCCAGGCUUGAUUCCUGGCUAAUGCA